rnacentral:rRNA from 1 species
UCAGGUAGUAGUGGGUGUAGCGUACCUACUAGCUUACGACGGGUACGGGUUGUGAGAGCAAGAGCCCGGAGAUGGAUUCUGAGACACGAAUCCAGGCCCGACGGGGUGCAGCAGGCGCGAAAACUUUACAAUGCUGGAAACAGCGAUAAGGGGACCUCGAGUGCCAGGUUACAAAUCUGGCUGUCGUGAUGCCUAAAAAGCAUUGCAUAGCAAGGGCCGGGCAAGACCGGUGCCAGCCGCCGCGGUAACACCGGCGGCUCGAGUGGUAACCGUUAUUAUUGGGUCUAAAGGGUCUGUAGCCGGCCGGAUAAGUCUCUUGGGAAAUCUGGCAGCUUAACUGUCAGGCUUUCAGGAGAUACUGUCUGGCUCGAGGCCGGGAGAGGUGAGAGGUACUUCAGGGGUAGGGGUGAAAUCUUGUAAUCCUUGAAGGACCACCAGUGGCGAAGGCGUCUCACCAGAACGGACCUGACGGCAAGGGACGAAAGCUAGGGGCACGAACCGGAUUAGAUACCCGGGUAGUCCUAGCCGUAAACUAUACUCGCUAGGUGUCGGCAACGGUGCGACCGUUGUCGGUGCCGUAGGGAAGCCGUGAAGCGAGCCACCUGGGAAGUACGGCCGCAAGGCUGAAACUUAAAGGAAUUGGCGGGGGAGCAC